AGAUGGAGAUCUACCUUUACAAGUCAGAUGACUUUGACAGUCUCACUGCUGCCAUCAAGGAAAGACGCAUCAUUGCUGCCAUGGCUGUCUUUUUUGAGCUGGGGCAAAAAGACAAUCCAGCUGUGAACCCAAUCAUCCAGGGCUUAAAAGGAGUGGUGCAUCAUGAAGAAGAGACCAACGUCAG